rnacentral:rRNA from 1 species
UACGGGGGGGGCAAGCGUUGUUCGGAAUUACUGGGCGUAAAGGGUUUGUAGGUGGCUUGCUAAGUCAGACGUGAAAUCCCUCAGCUUAACUGGGGAACUGCGUCUGAGACUGGCAAGCUUGAGUGCAGGAGAGGAACGCGGAAUUCCAGGUGUAGCGGUGAAAUGCGUAGAUAUCUGGAGGAACACCGGUGGCGAAGGCGGCAUCCUGGACCGACACUGACACUGAGGAGCGAAAGCCAGGGGAGCAAACGGG